AGAGUGAACGCUGGCGGUAGGCCUAACACAUGCAAGUCGAACGGCAGCACAGGAGAGCUUGCUCUCUGGGUGGCGAGUGGCGGACGGGUGAGGAAUACAUCGGAAUCUACCUUUUCGUGGGGGAUAACGUAGGGAAACUUACGCUAAUACCGCAUAAGACCUUCGGGUGAAAGCCGGGGACUUCGGGCCUGGCGCGGAUAGAUGAGCCGAUGUCGGAUUAGCUUGUUGGCGGGUAAAAGCCCACCAAGGCGACGAUCCGUAGCUGGUCUGAGAGGAUGAUCACGCCACACUGGAACUGAGACACGGUCCAGACUCCUACGGGAGGCAGGCAGUGGGGAAUAGUUAGGACAAGUGGGGACGCAAAGGCCGUUAGACUACCC
rnacentral:rRNA from 1 species